rnacentral:ribozyme from 12 species
UGUUGCUAGUAUUAUUAUUCUUAUUCUUGUUGUUCUUUUUCUUGGUCCUCUUACGAUUUUUAGCAGCUUUGUUCGAAACAGGAGAGGAAGAGGA